CAACGAGAAGGUAAGGAAAUACUUUACUAUUAGAUUAAUAAUAAUAAACCGAGAUGUCUGCUGUGGCGGCCAAGCGUUCAUAGCGGCAUAGCUUUUUGAUCCUUUCUUGUUAUUAUUGUGAAGCAAAAUACACCAAGCUUUGGAUUAUUCACCGAUACAAGUGAACGUGAGCUGGGUUUAGACCGUCAUGAAACAGAUUAGUUUUACCCUACUAAUGACAAUAUGUUGUUGCGACAGCAUUCCUGCGUAAUACGGACCAAUGGAACAAUAUUUGUUCCGGGGAAUAGUUGUAUGAAGCUACAUCCCUUAGAUUAUGCCUGAACGCCUCUAAGAUGGUAUCCGAGCUGGACUGCAAUCAUAAAAAUGGUGCAUUGCAUUUAAAGUUUGCCAUUUUUCUAUGAUAAACGAACAAUGAGAUCUGACGCCUAUAUUUUAUUGUAAUAUAACAAAUGCAGGGGGAUGUUAUCACUUGUAGGCCGCGUCAGUUAAACAUUAUUUAAUACAAUGGCAAUGCCUAGAAUCAACUGUAAUCGAAUUGUCAAGCUAAGCGAUCGCUAAGGGAUGAAACGAAAUUC
rnacentral:ncRNA from 1 species